rnacentral:rRNA from 1 species
AAGAAAACAGUUCAGCACUAAGUCACUUUGUCUUUAAUGGCAAAUGUGAGAUGCAGUGUAUGGAAUGUUCAAUUCUAGUAUGAGAAAUUAGCGAUUUAAGUCCUUCUUAAAUGAGGCCAUUUACCCAAAGAGGGUGCUAGGCCCGUAUAACGUUAAUGAUUACUAGAGAACAAUUCCAAAGAGUCGUGUUGCUUGAUAGUGCAGCACUAAGUGGGUGGUAAACUCCAUCUAAAACUAAAUAUAACCAUGAGACCGAUAGUAAACAAGUACCGUGAGGGAAAGUUGAAAAGAACUCUGAAUAGAGAGUUAAAUAGUACGUGAAACUGCUUAGAGGUUAAGCCCGAUGAACCCGAAUAUCCAUUAUGGAAAAUUCAUCAUUAUGAAUUAUGAUAUUUAAUAAAUAUUAUAUUAAUGGUGUGCAUUUUUUCCAUAUAAGGACAUUGUAAUCUAUUAACAUUAAAAUUUAUCAUAAAAUCAUUAGCUUUAAAGUUUAUUCAAAUUAUUAUGCUUGCAUUUUAACACAGAAUAAUUGCUUUUGAUUUGAUAGAUUGUUGAUAGAUUUAUMUUUAUAUAGUGCUUAAAUAUMUUUUUAUAUUUUAUAAUAGCAUAAUAAAUCAAUGAUUUUUAUGUUUAUUAUAUGCACUUAUAUGAUUUACAAUGCGAAAGAUUCGGGAUACCUUCGGGACCCGUCUUGAAACACGGACCAAGGAGUCUAACAUAUUUGCGAGUUAUUGGGUUUUUUAAAAACCUAAUAGCGAAAUUAACAUGACAAAAUUAAUAUGGGAUUAGUUAUUAGUUCUUAAGCAUACUUUAGACUAUUAAUUCAAUCCCGGGGCGUUCUAUACAGUUAUGUAUAAUAAUAUUUAUAUUAUUUAUACCUCUAACUAGAACGUACCUUGAGCAUAUAUGCUGUAACCCGAAAGAUGGUGAACUAUACUUGAUCAGGUUGAAGUCAGGGGAAACCCUGAUGGAAGACCGAAACAGUUCUGACGUGCAAAUCGAUUGUCAGAAUUGAGUAUAGGGGCGAAAGACCAAUCGAACCAUCUAGUAGCUGGUUCCCUCCGAAGUUUCCCUCAGGAUAGCUGGUGCAUUUAAAAUUUAUGUAAAAUAAUCUUAUCUGGUAAAGCGAAUGAUUAGAGGCCUUAGGGUCGAAACGAUCUUAACCUAUUCUCAAACUUUAAAUGGGUAAGAACCUCACCUUUCUUGGUAUGAAGGUUGUGGUUGUGAUAUAAUGUGCCCAGUGGGCCACUUUUGGUAAGCAGAACUGGCGCUGUGGGAUGAACCAAACGUAAUGUUACGGUGCCCAAAUUAACAACUCAUGCAGAUACCAUGAAAGGCGUUGGUUGCUUAAAACAGCAGGACGGUGGACAUGGAAGUCGCAAUCCGCUAAGGAGUGUGUAACAACUCACCUGCCGAAGCAACUAGCCCUUAAAAUGGAUGGCGCUUAAGUUGUAUACCUAUACAUUACCGCUAAAGUAAAUGGUUGAAAUUCAAUUUAUUUGGAUUUGUAAACUUUAAAACUUUAGUGAGUAGGAGGGUACAAUGGUGAGCGUAGAAGUGUUUGGCGUAAGCCUGCAUGGAGCCGCCAUUGGUACAGAUCUUGGUGGUAGUAGCAAAUAAUCGAAUGAGACCUUGGAGGACUGAAGUGGAGAAGGGUUUCGUGUGAACAGUGGUUGAUCACGAGUUAGUCGGUCCUAAGUUCAAGGCGAAAGCUGAAAAUUUUCAAGUUAUAUAUUAAUAAUGUAUAUUUAUAUAUAUAUAUAAUGUAUAAAACACUUGAAAUUAAUUGAACGAAAGGGAAUACGGUUCCAAUUCCGUAACCUGUUGAGUAUCCGUUUGUUUAUUAAAUGUGGGCCUUGUGCUCAUCCUGGCAACAGGAACGACCAUAAAGAAGCCGUCGAGAGAUAUCGGAAGAGUUUUCUUUUCUGUUUUAUAGUCGUACUACCAUGGAAGUCUUUCGAAGAGAGAUAUGGUAGAUGGGCUAGAAGAGCAUGACAUUUACUGUUGUGUCGAUAUUUUCUCCUCGGACCUUGAAAAUUUAUGGUGGGGUCACGCAAACUUCUCAACAGGCCGUACCAAUAUCCGCAGCUGGUCUCCAAGGUGAAGAGUCUCUAGUC